AAUAGAUUUCAUCCCAAUAUGAAAAAGCAGACUUGCGUAGUGUCUGAAGGCCCUUUUUUGUAAGUUUAUUUUUGUUUUGAUAGGUUCUUUGUUAAAAGCAGUUAUAUCUUUCUCAAUCUUACAUGUGUUUGUCAUUGUCCCAAACAAAGUGAAAGAUUAUGAUUGCAUGUUACAAUGGGACUUUGAUUUCAGCCCUAAGUUAAACAGUAGAUAAGGUCAUCCCAUAUACACUGCAUCCACAGUGGAUUGGUGGUGCUCGUUGAGGCUCUGCUGUAGGUCAUAGGCAGCCUAUCACUGAGUGAUCUUAUCCUGUAUCCUUUCAGAGCCCUGAAGUUACCCAGCCAGAUGAAGAUCUUCACCUUCGGGCAGAAGAAACAAAAUUGGUAAAGGUACAUGUUUUUUAGUGCAAACGUCUAACAAAGAAACUAUAGAAGAUUGAUGAAGAACUCUUAUUGCAUGAUUGUUAUAAUCAGACCCAAAAGGAACACAUCAAGACAAAGAGUCUUGAUAUUUUCUGACAUAUGUAAGAUUAAGACACUUACAUGCUAGUGAAGUCACAAACUAAAACCAGUGAGGUCAUGGACAGUGAGUAUCAUAGUGCCAGUAUAUAUGUCGUAACUUUUGGUGAACAACUUAAUUUCCCAACAACAAACAACUAGAUAAGCAUAGCCUCAAGAUGAACAAGAGAUAAUACGAAGCCUUUAAAAACCUCCCAGUAGCUGGGACUAGGCACCCACCUCUAUGUCUGGCUAAUUUUUGUAUUUUUAGUAUAGACGGGGUUUCACCAUGUUGGCCAAGCUGGUCUUCCAACUCCUGACCUCAAGUGAUCCACCCACCUCAGCCUCCCAAAGUGCUGGGAUUACAGGCAUGAGCCAUGGCACCUGACUGGGUUAUUAUAUGAUCUUGAUGAAGGAGGGAAUUCUGAUGAAGUUUCAGUGAGAUCAGUGAUGUGAUAGACUUAAAGCAAAAUAGGCUCUGUAUAAAAGAGUCAAUGCCAUGUCCAGACUGCAUAAUGGACCUGGGAUCCUAUUUCCUUGGAAAAUACAAAGUUAAAUGUAAAAUUACAUAUUCAGAAACCCCUCAUGUGAAAGUCUGCAUCUGAGUUGCAGAUAACUGCUUCUCAGCAUCAAAGUUACUUUCGUUCUUUCUGAUAUGAUUUCAGACUACACAAUUUCUGACAGCCUAUGACUUUAAAAGAUGAGGUGUCAUAAUGAGUAAGAAAGCAGUAGUUGCUCAAAACGGGUAAUUAUGACAUUUUACAGCUGCAGAAUGACCUUAGAAGAAAUAUUGUUUGCUGUUAACUUUUCAGUGGGUUUUAUUUGUGUCUAUUCUAGCUUGAGGUGUGGAAGGGCAGAAUUUUGCUUUCUCAGUAUAAGCUAAUUUUUACUUUCUCGAGCUCCAUCAAAAAGAAACUUUUACAUCAGUCUGGCUUAAUGUUAUUUUCUCAGUGUCUUUGAGGUAAAGAAUAUGAGGCUUAUGAUUUCUGGUUUCCAUUGCAUGCAUCAGUGUGUUAUCUUAGAAUCAACAAUUUCCGGGUAUUAUGUAUUAGGUUUCCAAUUUUGUCUAAAUUAUGAAUAGAGUUGGUCUGGGAUGGUGCAAUUGAAAUAAAUGGGUACUCUUUUAGCUCCCUAGGAACUUUUUGCAAUAAAAAUAAAACUUUAGUUAUAGUAA